rnacentral:rRNA from 1 species
AAUAGAUACCCCGGUAGUCCACGCCGUAAACGAUGAGUGCUAAGUGUUAGAGGGUUUCCGCCCUUUAGUGCUGCAGCUAACGCAUUAAGCACUCCGCCUGGGGAGUACGGUCGCAAGACUGAAACUCAAAGGAAUUGACGGGGGCCCGCACAAGCGGUGGAGCAUGUGGUUUAAUUCGAAGCAACGCGAAGAACCUUACCAGGCCUUGACAUCCUCUGACAACUCUAGAGAUAGAGCGUUCCCCUUCGGGGGACAGAGUGACAGGUGGUGCAUGGUUGUCGUCAGCUCGUGUCGUGAGAUGUUGGGUUAAGUCCCGCAACGAGCGCAACCCUUGAUCUUAGUUGCCAGCAUUUAGUUGGGCACUCUAAGGUGACUGCCGGUGACAAACCGGAGGAAGGUGGGGAUGACGUCAAAUCAUCAUGCCCCUUAUGACCUGGGCUACACACGUGCUACAAUGGAUGGUACAAAGGGCUGCAAGACCGCGAGGUCAAGCCAAUCCCAUAAAACCAUUCUCAGUUCGGA